GAUGAACGCUGGCGGCGUGCUUAACACAUGCAAGUCGAACGGAAAGGCCCAAGCUUGCUUGGGUACUCGAGUGGCGAACGGGUGAGUAACACGUGGGUGAUCUGCCCCGCACUUCGGGAUAAGCCUGGGAAACUGGGUCUAAUACCGGAUAGGACCACUUCUUGGAGGUUGUGGUGGAAAGUUUUUUCGGUGUGGGAUGAGCUCGCGGCCUAUCAGCUUGUUGGUGGGGUAAUGGCCUACCAAGGCGUCGACGGGUAGCCGGCCUGAGAGGGUGUACGGCCACAUUGGGACUGAGAUACGGCCCAGACUCCUACGGGAGGCAGCAGUGGGGAAUAUUGCACAAUGGGCGCAAGCCUGAUGCAGCGACGCCGCGUGGGGGAUGACGGCCUUCGGUUUGUAAACUCCUUUCGCUAGGGACGAAGCGCAAGUGACGGUACCUAGAGAAGAAGCACCGGCUAACUACGUG
rnacentral:rRNA from 1 species